GACGAACGCUGGCAGCGCGCCUAACACAUGCAAGUCGAACGAGAGAGGAAGAGCUUGCUUUUCCGAUCGCGUGGCGAACGGGUGAGUAACGCGUGAGGAACCUGCCUCAAAGAGGGGGACAACAGUUGGAAACGACUGCUAAUACCGCAUAAGCCCACGGCUCGGCAUCGAGCAGAGGGAAAAGGAGCAAUCCGCUUUGAGAUGGCCUCGCGUCCGAUUAGCUAGUUGGUGAGGUAACGGCCCACCAAGGCGACGAGCGGUAGCCGGACUGAGAGGUGGAACGCGCACAUUGGGACUGAGACACGGCCCAGACUCCUACGGGAGGCAGAAGUGGGGAAUAUUGCACAAUGGGGGAAACCCUGAUGCAGCGAUGCCGCGUGGAGGAAGAAGGUCUUCGGAUUGUAAACUCCUGUUGUUGAGGAAGAUAAUGACGGUACUCAACAAGGAAGUGACGGCUAACUACGUGCCAGCCGCCGCAGUAA
rnacentral:rRNA from 1 species